UAAUAUUUAAUUACUAAUUGAUCUUACUUCUGGGUAGUAGGUUAAGAGUUUCUUAGCUCCUUUUAUAAAAUAAGUGAAUUGUGGUUUACUCCACAUUUUUCUUACACUGUACCUGGUAUGUGUUAAGUAAUGUUCAUGAUUCUCCAUGCAGACUCCUGUAGAUGUUCCUAUAAAAUAUAAUCUGAAUAAUAUUAAUUAUAAAGAGUAUAUACAAAUCUAAUGCUUCUCAAAGGAAUACUUCCACAUAUUAUGAAGAAACAAUACGAAUAUAAGAACAAGAAAAGGGCCAAGUAUUUUUAAAACUGGCUCUGUUAUUCCCUGACUGAAGGCAUUCUUUCCAGGACUCAGAAUGGCUAUCUUUCUGCCUCAAAGGAGAGAGUUAGGGUGAAUAAUUAAAAAAUAACCUAUCAAACCUGACCUCUUGCCACAUCAUACUUCUUAGAGAAAAGCCUUAUCUGUAACACUAGUACAUAUGUAUUAAGUGAUGAUGUGUAUUUAAAACCACAUGAGAUUCAGUGAGUACUGUGUAACCUAGAUUUUAAUGUUUCAUUAAAAACUUCCCUCUCCCUCUAUUGGAGCUGUAGCCCCUUGUAUGCAAUAAUUAAUUGCAACUUCCUAUUUUCCUUAACCCACCUGUCCUUUGGACAAAAUCUCCUUGCCUUCCUUGAAAAGUCUCUUAAAUUGAACUUUUCAUGAAAGAAUGUUCUAUAAGGAAACUGCUUAUGAGGAAAUAGAAAAUUUCUAGUUUUCUUUUGCAGAUGUAAACAUAAAAUUUCUAAUAUACUUAAUUCAAGUUUCUUUUCCAUGUUCUAUUUAUUAAUCCAUUCAUUGGCAUCUAAAUUCAUGUAUUUCUUAUUCAUUGGUUAGAAACUUUCUCAGUAUUUGUGAAAAUCUUUUCCUGGCCAGUAUUUUUGGAGUACAUCUAUUUCUUAUCCAAUCCAGCUGGAAUGUUUUUAUUUUCUUGGAAUUUUUUUUUCAAUUCCAAAACUUGCCCAUUCCAUGGAAUGAAUAAACUAUUUCAAGAUAGCCAGCCCACCCUUUUUCCUUUCCAACUCCUCAG
rnacentral:lncRNA from 1 species